CCGCGUGCUGUGAGGAGCGCCAACCGACUCCUGUUACCGGUCGCGCGCCCCGACACGAGCUAUCGCGCUUCCUGUCUCGUGCGUCCAACUGCCUCUUAUUUAGUUUUGAAGACUCAGACCAGCACACAGCAUGGCACCUAGAAGUGGAGUCAAUCCUUCCCCGUGAAUCUGGCCUGACUAUAGUGACUCGCUUGGUGGAGUGCAGCAGAAAUGACCUUCUGUGACUUCUGAUGCAAGGGCAGAAGAAGUGGGAACAAUCUCUUCCAGCCCUGAGCCACAGCCAAAUACUCUGAGGUCUUCACACUUGAGAGACCGCAUGGAGAGAGCCGGUGGACCAGCUCUGAGACUUCACGAGGAUGCAGAGAUGCACAGCCAGACCCCAGCUGUCCAGCCUGCAGCCAUUUGUGUUUCCCCAGCUGCGGCUGCAGACAUGGGUUUCAAUCAAGAGAUCAAAAGGGGGCUUCCCUGGUGGCGCAGUGGUUGAGAAUCUGCCUGCCAAUGCAGGGCACACGGGUUCGAGCCCUGGUCCACGAAGAUCCCACAUGCCGCGGAGCAACUAGGCCCGUGAGCCACAACU